rnacentral:rRNA from 1 species
AGUGAACGCUGGCGGUAGGCCUAACACAUGCAAGUCGAACGGCAGCACAGUAAGAGCUUGCUCUUACGGGUGGCGAGUGGCGGACGGGUGAGGAAUACAUCGGAAUCUACUUUUUCGUGGGGGAUAACGUAGGGAAACUUACGCUAAUACCGCAUACGACCUACGGGUGAAAGCAGGGGAUCUUCGGACCUUGCGCGAUUGAAUGAGCCGAUGUCGGAUUAGCUAGUUGGCGGGGUAAAGGCCCACCAAGGCGACGAUCCGUAGCUGGUCUGAGAGGAUGAUCCGCCAAACUGGAACUGAGACACGGUCCAGACUCCUACGGGAGGCAGCAGUGGGGAAUAUUGGACAAUGGGCGCAAGCCUGAUCCAGCCAUACCGCGUGGGUGAAGAAGGCCUUCGGGUUGUAAAGCCCUUUUGUUGGGAAAGAAAAGCAGCAGGUUAAUACCCCGCUGUUCUGACGGUACCCAAAGAAUAAGCACCGGCUAACUUCGUG